UCUGAAUCCACUGCAAUCAGCCCACAGGGAUUUUGAUUUUCAGCUAAAAAUGAAAAGAUGGCAAGAGCCAAAUAAUGGGAGAGCUGAAAUCUCAGCGGCCUUCAGUCAGGGCAGAUGGUGAAAUUUCAUUUUAGAGGCAAUAUCUCCCCUCAGUCAUGGCGCGGUUUUAUGGAAUGAGUGGCUCCACUGUGUUUAACGCAUCAUUUCCCUCCUCAUUAGAUUAGAUCUCCUCAUAUUGACAGGAAACCUGCCAUGCAGCUUCAGCCUCUGAGGAAGGAGAAAAACAACACUUGGAAAUGGCGCAGGCAGUGUCAACAUGUCUGCCUGGAUGCCUCCGUGGAUGUAUUGUUUUCAUUAUGUCACCGCGGCUUAAAAAUGCAAUCUGGAAUUUAUUUGGCCAUUUCAGGUUUUGCUGUAGUCAAAUAUGACUUUGGCUGAAUAAUGGGCUCAUAAGAAUUUUUGUUUAAAAUCACUAUGGGGUGGCACCAGCAAAUGUCAACAGGCUGUUAGACACCUAGUACCUUCAUGUCAGAACUGUUAAACUGUUGUAUAAGAGAAAAAAAAAAGACUAUUACAAUGACACAAUGUGAAAUAUUCUUUUAUUUUAAAGGGGCACUUUUUAAAAACAAAUAUUGCUGAUUAACUUUUAGCCAUGAAAUUGUUUGGUUCAUUACUCUAGUCCAGACUUAAGUGACUCCACUAUGGAUCUUUUUCACAGCAGACAUUUUGACUGGUAAUUGCAGGAAAAGCAUGGCUGAAACAAAUUCUGUUGACAAUCGUCAACCCAAUCACUGGAAUAAAUGUUGGAAAUAAAGAUGAAGUUGUUUCAGUAAA